CCCCCUUUGAUCGAUAUGCCGUCCUCCCCUCAGCGGAUGUGGCCUGCAUAAUACAUCCACCAUUAACCUAGCUUGCUUAAUUUAAAUGUAUUUAACCACAUCAAGAGCUGAUGUAAUAAUACAUCAAUUGUCAAUUUAACUCUGCAAUCCGUAACGACUGAUUUGCAUACAGCACACACAAGGCAAGAUAAACACAGACUAUUUCACAUCAGUGACCAUGAUUUAGUUACAACAUUUACAACCAAAUGGAUACCAAGUUAUUAAGCAAAUUCCUUCAAAUUUAAUUGCAACAC